rnacentral:rRNA from 1 species
GGGUUGAAAGUUUGAAUCCUGGCUCAGGACGAACGCUGGCGGCGUGCUUAACACAUGCAAGUCGAACGAUGAACCAGAGCUUGCUCUGGGGAUUAGUGGCGAACGGGUGAGUAACACGUGAGUAACCUGCCCUUGACUCUGGGAUAAGCGUUGGAAACGACGUCUAAUACCGGAUAUGACACCUGACCGCAUGGUCUGGGUGUGGAAAGAAUUUUGGUCAAGGAUGGACUCGCGGCCUAUCAGGUAGUUGGUGAGGUAACGGCUCACCAAGCCGACGACGGGUAGCCGGCCUGAGAGGGUGACCGGCCACACUGGGACUGAGACACGGCCCAGACUCCUACGGGAGGCAGCAGUGGGGAAUAUUGCACAAUGGGCGAAAGCCUGAUGCAGCAACGCCGCGUGAGGGACGACGGCCUUCGGGUUGUAAACCUCUUUUAGUAGGGAAGAAGCGAAAGUGACGGUACCUGCAGAAAAAGCACCGGCUAACUACGUGCCAGCAGCCGCGGUAAUACGUAGGGUGCAAGCGUUGUCCGGAAUUAUUGGGCGUAAAGAGCUCGUAGGCGGUUUGUCGCGUCUGCUGUGAAAUCUGGGGGCUCAACCCCCAGCCUGCAGUGGGUACGGGCAGACUAGAGUGCGGUAGGGGAGAUUGGAAUUCCUGGUGUAGCGGUGGAAUGCGCAGAUAUCAGGAGGAACACCGAUGGCGAAGGCAGAUCUCUGGGCCGUAACUGACGCUGAGGAGCGAAAGCAUGGGGAGCGAACAGGAUUAGAUACCCUGGUAGUCCAUGCCGUAAACGUUGGGAACUAUAUGUAGGGGCCAUUCCACGGUUUCUGUGUCGCAGCUAACGCAUUAAGUCCCCGCCUGGGAAAGGCA